rnacentral:rRNA from 1 species
GACGAAGGGGGCUAGCGUUGUUCGGAAUUACUGGGCGUAAAGGGCGCGUAGGCGGAUAGUUUAGUCAGAGGUGAAAGCCCAGGGCUCAACCUUGGAAUUGCCUUUGAUACUGGCUAUCUUGAGUUCGGGAGAGGUGAGUGGAAUGCCGAGUGUAGAGGUGAAGUUCGUAGAUAUUCGGCGGAACACCAGUGGCGAAGGCGACUCACUGGCCCGAUACUGACGCUGAGGCGCGAAAGCGUGGGGAGCAAACAGG